rnacentral:lncRNA from 1 species
AGGUUAGGGUUCUGUUGCUGCCACACUCCCUUUCUGAACGAGACGUCUCUCGUUUGAUGCUCCUCAAAACCCUAAUCUCGUGGCUUUUUGUUUCUUCCUGCACCUCCAUUAUCAUUCUUCCUGUACCUUCAAUAUUAAUAAUAAUAAUAAUAUUGUGUUUCGAUCUCUCUCUCUCUCUCUCUCUCCAUUAACAACGCCAACUACUUCAUGCAUUCUUUUCUUCUGCUUCUAUAUGUGGCUAUCACUCGAUUUUUUCUAUCUCUCAACAAGAAGAGGCUGUGAAGAUGACUUGGGAGUGUGGACCCGAUGCGUCGGUCGCCGUCAAACACCGCUCACCUGUGGCGAGGCAAUGUCAUCGCUUUUGUGAUCUUAUUGCAGCCAUCGGUGGUGGUGGUGUUUUUCGACUUUCGAACUAUCGUUGUGAUAGAUCUGAGCCUCCCUAAUUCGCCCCAAAAUUUUUCCCAUUCCCGGCGAUGUCUUAGUAUUUGGCAGAGGUGUAUGGGGUGUGUGGAAGGGAAAAACGCUUUUCCUGGUAGUUCCGGAUCGUGUCGGAAGCAUUGAUCGGUUCUGCAUGCUUUUGUUUCCCCUUGCUUCUCACCCAGGAAACCCUAAUUUGUUUAAAUUUGUUGCUAUUCGAUUAGUUUGUGAUAUUGAUCGAUGUAUUUACUCUAUUUUAGUUUCUGAAAUUUCUUCAUGCUGGGAUGUUUUAUUUUGAAACUUGUGUUAUGCAACCUAAUUGCAGGAUGGGCUUUAGGACUAACGUUUAGAGGUGUAUUUAUGCUAUUCCAUUAUGUUCAGGUGAGUUGUCUAAGUAACACUUUUAUUGAUUUAUUACCCUCUUGUGUAUAUUUUCUGAAUUUUCAGGUCAUUUUGUUACGGAAGUACCUGGCCGCAUUGAUAGCAAAUAUUCAAUUCAAUAGUCUACAUUACAGUUUAUAUUUCUAAUUUUCUAUGUAAUGUUUGUCAGUCUGGUUUGGAGUUUUGGUACAUAUUUUGUUACGGAUGUAAUAUAUGAAUUUAUUGUUAAUUGUAGUAGAAUCCAAUUCUAAACUUUUGUGUGAAUUGUAUAAUUACCGAGCUUAUCAAACUUUAGAUUUAAAGUUGUCACGGUUGCAUUUGAAGAAGAUUAAUUACUGCUGUGCAAUGGUUCAAAUAAUUAUAAUUCUAUUAAUUCUUAAAAUUUUGCCUUUUAAAUACUGGACGCAGUGUAUUGCGGUGCACACUUAUAAUUUCUUGUAAUUUGGCACGGAUUUUGCGUUGAUAGCGCACUAAUCGCAUGUUUCUUGAAUUAAUGACAAUUCCUAAUAAUGCAGUCGCAAGCGGUGGCAAAUGGGUCGCCUGAUGAAUUAAUAAGAAUCGUAGAACCAAUGUCGUGUUUGUUUCUAUGAUACAAGAUAGAAUAUAACGCACGUUAGAGUUGAGUUAGUGAUCUCUAGAUUUUGCUGGGUUAAUCACAUUAGUUACUAUGCAAUAGCAUUGCAAGCACCAAAAUGGCGACCAUUGAGAGGCCAGAGUUAGCAAUCAUUGGCCUGGCACCUGAAGGUGGAGGACUGGGUUUAGCAUCAUCAGCAGACUCAGGUUCCGAUUUGGAACCAUCGUUGACUGGAGGAAGAGGUGGGUCAACAACCUUUGCAACCUCAAGAGG